GCCCCCAUAGCCCAAUGGCAGAGGCGGGCGACUUAAAAUCGCUACAGUGUGGGUUCGAGUCCCACUGGGGGCA
rnacentral:tRNA from 1 species